AGCAGCCGCGGUAAUUCCAGCUCCAAUAGCGUAUAUUAAAGUUGUUGCAGUUAAAAAGCUCGUAGUUGAAUUUCGGGAUCAAUAUGUUGGUCGUGCCUUGGUACGUACUGGCAUUAUUGGUUCCUACCUUCUGAAGAACCUCGAUGUCAUUAAUUUGGUGUCUUGGGGAAUCAGGACUGUUACUUUGAAAAAAUUAGAGUGUUUAAAGCAGGCUCGCGCUUGAAUACAUUAGCAUGGAAUAAUGAAAUAGGACGUUUGAUUCUAUUUUGUUGGUUUCUAGGAUCGACGUAAUGAUUAAUAGGGAUAGUUGGGGGCAUUAGUAUUCAAUUGUCAGAGGUGAAAUUCUUGGAUUUAUUGAAGACUAACUACUGCGGAAGCAUUUGCCAAGGAUGUUUUCAUUAAUCAAGAACGAAAGUUAGGGGAUCGAAGACGAUCAGAUACCGUCGUAGUCUUAACCAUAAACUAUGCCGACUAGGGAUCGGAUGAUGUUAAUUUUUAAUGACUCAUUCGGCGCCUUAAC
rnacentral:rRNA from 1 species